rnacentral:rRNA from 1 species
UACGUAGGUGACAAGCGUUGUCCGGAUUUACUGGGCGUAAAGAGCGCGCAGGCGGUCGUUCAAGUCGCGUGUGAAAGCCCCCGGCUCAACUGGGGAGGGUCACUCGAUACUGAUCGACUCGAAGGCAGGAGAGGGUAGUGGAAUUCCCGGUGUAGUGGUGAAAUGCGUAGAUAUCGGGAGGAACACCAGUGGCGAAGGCGACUACCUGGCCUGUUCUUGACGCUGAGGCGCGAAAGCUAGGGGAGCAAACGGG